rnacentral:rRNA from 1 species
GUGCCAGCCGCCGCGGUAAAACGUAGGUGGCAAGCGUUAUCCGGAUUUACUGGGCGUAAAGCGUGUGCAGACGGGGCUUCAAGUGGUGUAUGAAAUCGCUCGGCUCAACCGGGCGCGGGUAUGCCAGACUGGAGUGCUAGAGGGUGCGAGAGGGACGUGGAAUUCCGGGUGUAGUGGUGAAAUGCGUAGAGAUCCGGAGGAACCCCUGAGGCGAAGGCGGCGUCCUGGCGCACUUCUGACGUUCAGACACGACAGCAUGGGGAGCGAACGGGAUUAGAUACCCCCGUAGUCC